rnacentral:rRNA from 1 species
CCUACGGGUGGCUGCAGUGGGGAAUAUUGGGCAAUGGAGGCAACUCUGACCCAGCAACGCCGCGUGAAUGAUGAAGGUCUUCGGAUUGUAAAGUUCUGUGAUGGGGGAUGAACACAAUGACGGUACCCCAAUAGCAAGCCACGGCUAACUACGUGCCAGGAGCCGCGGUAAGACGUAGGUGGCAAGCGUUAUCAGGAAUGACUGGGCGUAAAGGGUGCGUAGGGGGGUUAGUAAGUUGGAGGUGUAAUUCCGGGGCUCAACCUCGGCGCUACCGCCAAAACUAGUAGACUAGAGUGCAGGAGAGGUAAGUGGAAUGCCUAGGGUAGCGGUGGAAUGCGUAGAUAUUAGGAGGAACAUCAGGGGCGAAGGCGACUUACUGGACUGUAACUGACACUGAGGCACGAAAGCGUGGGGAGCAAACAGGAUUAGAUACCCUUGUAGUC